UACGUAGGGGGCAAGCGUUGUGCGGAUUUAUUGGGCGUAAAGAGCGUGUAGGCGGCCACACAGGUCCGCUGUGAAAACUCGAGGCUCAACCUCGAGCUGUCGGUGGAAACCGUGUGGCUAGAGUCCGGAAGAGGAGAGUGGAAUUCCCGGUGUAGCGGUGAAAUGCGCAGAUAUCGGGAAGAACACCCGUGGCGAAGGCGGCUCUCUGGGACGGUACUGACGCUGAGACGCGAAAGCGUGGGGAGCGAACAGG
rnacentral:rRNA from 1 species